rnacentral:tRNA from 1 species
GGGCCUGUAGCCUAGUGGUUAGGGCGCCAGCCACAUACACCGAAGCUCGCAGGUUCGAACCCAGCCUGGGCCA